AGAACUGAAAAUCCAAGAGGUGGAAUGAAGCAGUAACGAGCGGAAACGCCUCCAUUGAUACUCCGAACGGCAUUAGCAGGAAACUGCUUUUGUCGUAAGCUCGGUAAAGUCGGCAGAGAGAUACCGUAAGAAAGAGAUGCUUUUACGAAAGCUGUUCAGAGGUGAAUGGUGUAUCCUAUAUGUCGGAGGUCUAUAAA
rnacentral:ncRNA from 1 species